rnacentral:rRNA from 1 species
CCUACGGGUGGCUGCAGUCGAGAAUUUUUGACAAUGGGGGAAACCCUGAUCGAGCGACGCCGCGUGGAGGAUGAAGGUCUUCGGAUUGUAAACUCCUGUCAUUGGGGAACAAUGCACAGAUAUUAACUGUAUUUGUGUUGAUAGUACCCGAAGAGGAAGAGACGGCUAACUCUGUGCCAGCAGCCGCGGUAAUACAGAGGUCUCAAGCGUUGUUCGGAUUCAUUGGGCGUAAAGGGUGCGUAGGUGGCGUCGUAAGUCGGGUGUGAAAUUUCGGAGCUUAACUCCGAAACUGCAUUCGAUACUGCGGUGCUUGAGGACUGGAGAGGAGACUGGAAUUUACGGUGUAGCAGUGAAAUGCGUAGAGAUCGUAAGGAAGACCAGUGGCGAAGGCGGGUCUCUGGACAGUUCCUGACACUGAGGCACGAAGGCCAGGGGAGCAA